UAUUGGGAUUCGACUAAGCCAUGCGAGUCGAGAGGGUUCGGCCCUCGGCUGACGGCUCAGUAACACGUGGAUAAUCUACCCUAAGGUGGAGGAUAACCUCGGGAAACUGAGAAUAAUACUCCAUAGAUCUAGACUGCUGGAAUGCUUUUAGAUCGAAAAGGUUUAUCGCCUAAGGAUAAGGUCUGCGGACUAUCAGGUUGUAGUCAGGGUAACUACCUGACUAGCCUACGACGGAUACGGGUAGUGAGAGCUUUAGCCCGGAGAUGAUAUCUGAGACACGAUAUCAGGCCCUACGGGGCGCAGCAGGCGCGAAAACUUCGCACUGUGCGAAAGCACGACGAGGGAAUCCCAAGUGCUGGCUCGUAAGAGUCAGCUGUUUCUCUGUCUAAAAAACAGAGAGAGUAAGGGCUGGGUAAGACGGGUGCCAGCCGCCGCGGUAAUACCUGCAGCUCAAGUGGUGGCCGCUAUUAUUGGGCCUAAAACGUCCGUAGCCGGUUCUAUAAAUGCCUGGGUAAAUCGUACGGCUUAACCGUACGAAUUCCGGGUAGACUGUUCAACUUGGGACCGGGAGAGGCUAGAGGUACUCCUGGGGUAGAGGUGAAAUUCUGUAAUCCUAGGGGGACCACCAGUGGCGAAGGCGUCUAGCUAGAACGGGUCUGACGGUGAGGGACGAAGCCCUGGGGAGCAAACGGGAUUAGAUACCCCGGUAGUCCAGGGUGUAAACGCUGCUCGCUUGAUGUUAGUCGGGCUCCGAGCACAACUAGUGUCGGAGAGAAGUUGUUAAGCGAGCUGCCUGGGGAGUACGGUCGCAAGACUGAAACUUAAAGGAAUUGGCGGG
rnacentral:rRNA from 1 species